GUGAGGAAUAUUGCGCAAUGGAGGCAACUCUGACGCAGCCAUGCCGCGUGCAGGAAGAAGGCGCUACGCGUUGUAAACUGCUUUUAACCGGGAAGAAACCCCAGGACGUGUCCUGGGUUGACGGUACCGGAGGAAUAAGCACCGGCUAACUUCGUGCCAGCAGCCGCGGUAAUACGAAGGGUGCAAGCGUUAUCCGGAUUCAUUGGGUUUAAAGGGUGCGUAGGCGGAGCGUUAAGUCAGUGGGGAAAUCCUGCAGCUUAACUGUAGGCUUGCCAUUGAUACUGGCGCUCUUGAGUGCGCUUGAAGUGGGCGGAAUGUGCCGUGUAGCGGUGAAAUGCUUAGAUAUGGCACAGAACACCAAUUGCGAAGGCAGCUCACUAAGGCGAUACUGACGCUGAGGCACGAAAGCGUGGGGAUCGAACAGGAUUAGAUACCCUAGUAGUCC
rnacentral:rRNA from 1 species